GGCGGCGUGCCUAAUACAUGCAAGUAGAACGCUGAAGGAGGAGCUUGCUUCUCUGGAUGAGUUGCGAACGGGUGAGUAACGCGUAGGUAACCUGCCUGGUAGCGGGGGAUAACUAUUGGAAACGAUAGCUAAUACCGCAUAAGAGUAGAUGUUGCAUGACAUUUGCUUAAAAGGUGCAAUUGCAUCACUACCAGAUGGACCUGCGUUGUAUUAGCUAGUUGGUGAGGUAACGGCUCACCAAGGCGACGAUACAUAGCCGACCUGAGAGGGUGAUCGGCCACACUGGGACUGAGACACGGCCCAGACUCCUACGGGAGGCAGCAGUAGGGAAUCUUCGGCAAUGGACGGAAGUCUGACCGAGCAACGCCGCGUGAGUGAAGAAGGUUUUCGGAUCGUAAAGCUCUGUUGUAAGAGAAGAACGAGUGUGAGAGUGGAAAGUUCACACUGUGACGGUAUCUUACCAGAAAGGGACGGCUAACUAC
rnacentral:rRNA from 1 species